rnacentral:rRNA from 1 species
GGGGGCUCACACAAAUAGGUGGAGGGAUGUAUACAAACUGGAAGCAAUGUGAAGAACUUUACUUAUAAACCACAAAUAUGGAUUAGGUUUGGGAAACUUGAAAUAUGCCCUUGAGGUGGAACAUACACAGUUGGUGCAUGGCUGUGGUCAGGUUGUGGUAUGAAGGUUCUGGUUAAGUCCCUUAACGAGCGCAACCUAAUUCGCUAGUUGCCAGCAACCCAUGGCGGGGAUUAGAAAGAGGCUGCCGGUGUCAAACCGGAGGAAGGUGGGGAUGACGUCAAGUCCUCAUGGCCCUUAGGCCUAGGGUGGCAAACAUGAUAGAUUACCCAGUGCAGAGAGACACAAGACCGCGAGGGAGAGCUAAUGACCAAAUGCAAGAACCAGUUUGGAAGGCAGUAUGAAAGUCGAGAGCAGGAAGCCGGAAUUGGGAGUAAUUGCAGAUCAGCCUUGGAAAGGUGAAUACGUUCAUGAGCCUUUCCACACCGCCCGUCAAGUCAUGGACGCGGGGAGUGCCCGAAGUCGCCUCAAUUCAGGGGUGCUUACGACAAACUCGGUGACUGGGACUAAGUCGUAACAAGGUAACCAAGGGCGAA